UACGUAGGUGGCAAGCGUUGUCCGGAUUUACUGGGCGUAAAGGGCGUGCAGGCGGUUUGUUAAGUGCAGAGUGAAAGCUCCCGGCUCAACUGGGAGAGGUCUUUGCAUACUGGCAAACUCGAGGGAGGCAGAGGAAAGUGGAAUUCCCGGUGUAGUGGUGAUAUGCGUAGAUAUCGGGAGGAACACCAGUGGCGAAGGCGGUUGCCUGGAGCUUUGCUGACGCUGAGGCGCGAAAGCGUGGGGAGCGAUCCGG
rnacentral:rRNA from 1 species